rnacentral:rRNA from 1 species
AGUUCGGUCUCUAUCUGUUGUGGGCGCGAGAUAUUUGCGAGGGUCUGACACUAGUACGAGAGGACCGUGUUGGACGUACCACUGGUUUAUCGGUUGUUUCGCCAGGAGCACUGCCGAGUAGCCACGUACGGUAAGGAUAAGUGCUGAAAGCAUCUAAGCACGAAGCCCUCCUCAAGAUUAGAUAUCUUUAUAGGGUGGUUAUAGACGAUGACCUUGAUAGGCUACAGGUGUAAAUGCAGUAAUGUAAAAGCCGAGUAGUACUAAUAGCCCGAACGCUUUAUAU